rnacentral:rRNA from 1 species
CCUACGGGCGGCUGCAGUGAGGAAUAUUGGUCAAUGGUCGGGAGACUGAACCAGCCAAGCCGCGUGAGGGAUGAAGGUACAGAGUAUCGUAAACCUCUUUUGUCAGGGAACAAAGGCGGGGACGUGUCCCCGGAUGAGUGUACCUGAAGAAAAAGCAUCGGCUAACUCCGUGCCAGCAGCCGCGGUAAUACGGAGGAUGCGAGCGUUAUCCGGAUUUAUUGGGUUUAAAGGGGGCGCAGGCGGUCUGUUAAGUCAACGGUAAAAGCCCGGGGCUCAACCCCGGCCCGCCGUUGAAACUGGCAGUCUCGAGUUGGAGAGAAGUAUGCGGAAUGCGCGGUGUAGCGGUGAAAUGCAUAGAUAUCGCGCAGAACUCCGAUUGCGAAGGCAGCAUGCCGGCUCCACACUGACGCUGAGGCACGAAAGCGUGGGUAUCGAACAGGAUUAGAUACCCUAGUAGUC